UAUCCGUAGGUGAACCUGCGGAAGGAUCAUUAUUGGAUUUUGAAACUUCAGGCUGCUGCUGGCUCUCCUCGGAGGGCAUGUGCACGCUUGUUGUCCAUUAUUUCUCCCACUGUGCACAAAUUGUAGACCUUUCAGUAGGCCUAUGUUGUUUUUCACAAUCUCUGAAUGUAAUAGAAUGGUUUUGAAUCUUGGGAAAUACAAUACAACUUUCAGCAACGGAUCUCUUGGCUCUC
rnacentral:misc_RNA from 1 species